GAUGAACGCUGGCGGCGUGCCUAAUACAUGCAAGUCGAGCGAACGGACGAGAAGCUUGCUGCUCUGAUGUUAGCGGCGGACGGGUGAGUAACACGUGGAUAACCUACUUAUAAGACUGGUAUAACUUCGGGAAAUCGGAGCUAAUACCGUAUAAUAUUUUGAACCGCAUGGGUCAAUAGUGAAAGACGGUCGUGCUGUCAGGUAUAGAUGGAUCCGCGCUGCAUUAGAUAGUUGGUAAGGUAACGGGUUAUCAAGGCAACGAUGCAUAGCCGACCUGAGAGGGUGAUAGGCCACACUGGAACUGGAACACGGUCAAGACUCCUACGGGAGGCAGCAGAAGGGAAUCUUACGCAAUGGGCGAAAGCCUGACGGAGCAACGCCGCGUGAGUGAUGACGGUCUUCGGAUCGUAAAACUCUGUUAUUAGGGAAGAACAUAUGUGUAAGUAAAUGUGCACAUCUUGACGGUAACUAAUCAGAAAGCCACGGCUAACUACGUG
rnacentral:rRNA from 1 species